CGCCGGGUUUCCCAGACGCUUCCACGACCGCGCACGAGGGCGAGGCCCGCGGGAGGAUCUACAUCUGGUCAACCAAGUGCAGUUAAUGGUGCUAAGGACGGUGACUGUCAUUUGUGCACAUUCACCGAGUGCUGCCUCAGGCUGUGUUCCUCGUGGAUAUUAUGCUAUGUCACCCUUUCAACAACGGAGGUCUUUAUCAUUGUCCUGAUUUCACAGGUGCUGCACUGUCCUCAUGCCCUACCCUUCAGCCAUCAUCUCGUACUCCCUUACACCUCUCCCAAGAUGCCAUACUUUGUACCUUUGCACACGCAGCGUGGUCUUUCCAGGACAUCCUUCGCCUCCUUAAGAGACGCCUCAUCAUCCUUGAAG